rnacentral:rRNA from 1 species
AUUGAACGCUGGCGGCAUGCCUUACACAUGCAAGUCGAACGGCAGCAUGGAGAGCUUGCUCUCUGAUGGCGAGUGGCGAACGGGUGAGUAAUGCAUCGGAACGUACCGUAUAAUGGGGGAUAACGUAGCGAAAGUUACGCUAAUACCGCAUACGACCUGAGGGUGAAAGCAGGGGAUCGCAAGACCUUGCGUUAUACGAGCGGCCGAUGUCAGAUUAGCUAGUUGGUGAGGUAAAGGCUCACCAAGGCGACGAUCUGUAGCGGGUCUGAGAGGAUGACCCGCCACACUGGGACUGAGACACGGCCCAGACUCCUACGGGAGGCAGCAGUGGGGAAUUUUGGACAAUGGGGGCAACCCUGAUCCAGCCAUGCCGCGUGAGUGAAGAAGGCCUUCGGGUUGUAAAGCUCUUUCGGCCGGGAAGAAAUCGCACAGGCUAAUACUCUGUGUGGAUGACGGUACCGGCAUAAGAAGCACCGGCUAACUACGUGCCAGCCGCCGCGGUAA